CUGCUGCCUUCCGUAGGAGUUUGGGCCGUGUCUCAGUCCCAAUGUGGCCGGUCACCCUCUCAGGUCGGCUACUGAUCGUCGCUUUGGUGGGCCGUUACCCCGCCAACUGGCUAAUCAGACGCGGGUCCAUCUUAUACCACCGGAGUUUUUCACACACUACCAUGCGGUACUGUGCGCUUAUGCGGUAUUAGCAGUCAUUUCUAACUGUUAUCCCCCUGUAUAAGGCAGGUUACCCACGCGUUACUCACCCGUCCGCCG
rnacentral:rRNA from 1 species